GAUCUGCUGCAUGUCAACAGGGUGGAUUUUGUGAGCAAAGUGGAGACUGGUGGCCGUCUUGGCCACAGCGACCACAAAGCAAUCGAGUUUAAAACUCCGUUGACAGGAGGAAAAGUGCCAGCAAAACCUCAACUCCAGACAUGAGAAGAACAGACUUCAGGUUGCUCAGGGAAUUAGUAAGGUCCCCUGUGAAAAUAUUUUUGCAGGUGCUGGAGUCCAUCAGUGCUGGUCACUUUUCAAGCAUCACCUCCUAAGGACACAGGAGCAGCAAUUCCCAAAUGUCAGAACUCAAGCAGAGUCUGACACUGGGGAUAUCUGGCAAUCAGCUUACACAUUCAUUGGUUUGCAUAAGGGGAGGAGACAGGACUGCACAGUGGCAGCAACUAUGCAAACAACUCAUUUCACUCUAGCUCCCCCAGAAUCUGGUCCCACAUCCUCUGCAGCUGCAGAAGAAUUCAAACAGGC